rnacentral:rRNA from 1 species
GACGAACGCUGGCGGCGUGCUUAACACAUGCAAGUCGAACGGAAAGGCCUGCUUUCCCUUGUGGAUUGCGGGUACUCGAGUGGCGAACGGGUGAGUAACACGUGAGUGAUCUGCCCCCAACUUGGGUAUAAGCCUGGGAAACUGGGUCUAAUUCCCGAUAGGACUGCAGGGUGGUGCCUGUGGUGGAAAACGAUUUUCUAGUGGUUGGGGAUGAGCUCGCGGCCUAUCAGCUUGUUGGUGGGGUAAUGGCCUACCAAGGCGGGGACGGGUAGCCGGCCUGAGAGGGUGGACGGCCACAUUGGGACUGAGAUACGGCCCAGACUCCUACGGGGGGCAGCAGUGGGGAAUAUUGCACAAUGGGCGGAAGCCUGAUGCAGCGACGCCGCGUGGGGGAUGACGGCCUUCGGGUUGUAAACUCCUUUCGACCGCGAGGAAGCCACCUGGUUGGAAGGGUGGUGACGGUAGUGGUAGAAGAAGCACCGGCUAACUACGUG